rnacentral:lncRNA from 1 species
GGAAUUAGCUUCCAAAACCUUGUUUGCUUUAUUUUUCAUGCAUUAAAAUGAUGAAAGAGAAGUGGUCAAUGUUUUAUUAUUUUUUUAGUAUUAUAUGUAUGGAUUUUGGAGUGAGAAAGUGGAAAGGAGAGUAGUUUCACGUUAACUAGUGUGUGCUCCUGCAUGUGCCUUUCAUUGAGUAUUUUUAAUUGAUUUUAUGUUUUUGCAUUGCAUGGUUGGAGAGAGAAAAAGUUGGGUUGCUUUUGUUAUAGAAGUGUGAACGUUCCAGGGAGGAGGGGUAUUGCUCCUCAUUCAUUCUUUACGUUACAAUACAUGGCCAUUGGCUUUUCAUUUUUCUUCUUUGCAUGGGUCUUGGGCACGCUUUCUCAUUGCUUUGGAAAUAUUAUAAGUGACUCUUGAUUCCCUUGGUAGGUUACCAAUUUAAUAAGAGUUGUAGGUUAGCUAAAUUAAUAUUAUUAGGGUACUUUAACAUUACCAUUUAUCACCAUUAAAGUGAGGUUAUUGGAGUUAAUAGAGAGUUAGGAAAGGGCUAAUCUGAAGUUAGUGGGAUAGGGUGUUUAUGGGAGUAACGUUGAGUGGUUAGUGAAGGGUUAGUGAGGUUUAAGGUAAGUUUCUACUUAAGGGUGUAAGUUAAGUUAGUAGGGUUGGAAAAACAAAACAUUUUGGUGAGUAAAAUAAAGAGAGAACUGUGACUUGGAGAGGCACUUUUGGAGAGCAACCAAAUUGGUGAGAGAGCCACCCUAGCCUUGGAGUUUUUGGACGUCACUUGUAGGUGAUCAAGAGGAGUGAAGACUUAGAGUCUAGUGAAGGGAGAAAACCUAAAAGCCUUUGGGAGCUUGCUUGGAACUAGAGGUAAGGGGUUUAACUUGGGAUAUAAUAUGGUGUAUGAUGGGUAAAAGGUAACAUGAUAAUGUUGAUGCAUGCUUCCUUUCUUUCGUGUUGAGAUUAAAGUUAAUAUGUUCAUGCAUGCUCUCUCUUUUUGUGUUUAGUUUCAUGUGUUGUUGUAUGGAGAAUGAUUAUUUUCAUGCAUUUUCAAAAAUUGGGGUUGUGAAGGGGUAUACUUUGGGUUGUAUAUAUAUAGUGAUUUUCGUUUUUUUUUUUUUUGUAGUUAUGGGUAUACUUUCAACUUUGCAUGUUGGUUUUUCAAAAAAAAUUGUUGUUCUUAAAAUGGGUAUACAUGUUUUGGACACUUUGGGGUAAUGUAUGUGUAUGAAAAAGUUUUAUGGGUACACUUAAAAUCAUGUUAUAUUGUGUGCAUCUUGUUUCCUUAUUACCAUGUAUGAUUUAUAAUAUUUUUGUGGGAUGCUUAUCUACACUCUUUGACCAAGAGUGUGGGUAGGAGGGUAUUGAGAGUUCUCUCCCAUUACUGGAAGAGAAUAGAGUGAGUUAUGAGUAUGAGAGGAGUGAAAGUGAUGUUUUUGUGAGAUGGGGUAUAUGGGGUUGAUGAAAGUAGUGAAGAAAGAAGAAGCUUGAUGUCAUUGGAGGAAGAAGAACAUGAAGGAAGAAUUAUGGAAGUGGAAGGAGGAGAUGGGCACACUACAAAUCACAUAACAAAAGCAAGGAGAAAAGACAAGGAAGGGAGGAGUCUCGGUUAACGUGGGGAGUGUGGGGAGUGAGAGAAGAGCAGAAGAAAGGUGGUUUUUGGGUUUUAGUUGAGAAAGAAAAAGUGAAAGAGUGAAAGGAUGUGUGUGUGUAUGUGUUUGCCGUGAGUUUGAGUGAGAGAAAGGUGAGUUAGAAAGGAUGUUAAAAAGUCAAAGGGUAAUGAAAAAUGAAAUUUAGAAGAGUGUGUGUUGGGUUACGUAAUGGUUAGAAAAAAAGAAAGAUGAAGAGAAGAAAGAGAAUGAAGUAUUGUUUUUGUGUUGAAAAAGGAAAAAAAAUUGAGAAUGCAUGGGAUGUGUGUUACGUGAAUGGUAAUUGAAUGGGAGAGAGAUUGGCCUUUUAGUCUUAGAAAAGAGAAGAAAAGUUGAUCUAGAAAAGUGAGUGGGGUCCACGGCAAUUUUGGUGUGAAAGGUGGGUGAGGUGGAUUUUGCUUUAAUUGAAAAAAAAUAAAAUAAAAAGAGAAAGAGAGGAAGACGAGAGAUGUUACGUAAAAGUAGGAAAAAAGGGAUAGAGAAAAAAUAAAGUUUGAUUUUUAAUUAAAAAGACUAAUGGGUCCACUU